rnacentral:rRNA from 1 species
UCGUCAGCUCGUGUCGUGAGAUGUUGGGUUAAGUCCCGCAACGAGCGCAACCCUUGUCAUUAGUUGCCAUCAUUAAGUUGGGCACUCUAAUGAGACUGCCGGUGACAAACCGGAGGAAGGUGGGGAUGACGUCAAGUCAUCAUGCCCCUUAUGACCUGGGCUACACACGUGCUACAAUGGACGGUACAACGAGAAGCGAACCUGCGAAGGCAAGCGGAUCUCUUAAAGCCGUUCUCAGUUCGGACUGUAGGCUGCAACUCGCCUACACGAAGCUGGAAUCGCUAGUAAUCGCGGAUCAGCACGCCGCGGUGAAUACGUUCCCGGGCCUUGUACACACCGCCCGUCACACCAUGAGAGUCUGUAACACCCAAAGCCGGUGGGAUAACCUUUAUAGGAGUCAGCCGUCUAAGGUAGGACAGAUGAUUAGGGUGAAGUCGUAACAAGGUAGCCGUA